AUUAACUGGACGGACAAUAAACCGUGUGGAUAAACAGGGUGGUUGCUCUGGUGAAAUGAUCAGUGGAACUCUAUUUGCUGUGACCCUGUCCCUCUGUGUUGCUUUGGGUGCAAAUGCCCCAGUCCUUUUCCAGUCUCCGACCCUGCAAUGUGUCACAGAGGGUCACACUGCCCGACUGCAGUGCACCAUGAGUAACGCAGCAGUAACGCACGUCAAUGUUCACUGGUACCAAGGACGACCAGGACUUCGGGCGAAGAGGAUUUUGACACAUGACCAAUGGAAUCGGGUGUACAGGUGUAAAUGCCCCAGUCCUUCUCCAGUCACCAAGCCUGGAACGUGUCACCGAGGGUCACACUGCCCGGUUACAGUGUACCAUGAGGAACGCCGCAGUGACACAUACUGAUGUUCACUGGCACCGGGACCAACCAAGGAAAAGCACGGAGUGGAUUUUAACACAUGACGUGAGGAACAUCACACGGAGCCCACAAUUUAUGGAGCGAUUCCAGUCUUCCAGAGUCUCCAACAAUAACAGCUUCAUUCUGACCAUCAGAAACGUGCUGCCCAUUGACAGUGGGGUCUAUUACUGUAAAGUGUGGGGAGAUAUCAGUGGGAAUGGAACCCAACUGACUGUAAUGGAUCCAUUGGCUGAUCCAGUCCUCAUUCAGUAUCCAGUGGCCAGCAAGGUACCAGAGGGUGAAACUGUCGAGUUCCAGUGUGUCAUGUACCAUGCCAGCCCAGGGUUUCCAUGA